GACAGAGGGUGCAACCGUUGCUCGGAAUUACUGGGCGUAAAGCGCGUGUAGGCGGCCCGGAAAGUCGGGCGUGAAAGCCCUAGGCUCAACCUAGGAACUGCACUCGAAACUUCCGGCCUUGAGUGGUGGAGAGGGAAGUGGAAUUCCUGGUGUAGAGGUGAAAUUCGUAGAUAUCAGGAGGAACACCAGUGGCGAAGGCGGUUCUCUGGGCCUGUACUGACGCUGAGGAGCGAAAGCGUGGGGAGCGAACAGG
rnacentral:rRNA from 1 species